UCCAUUAAAGUACAUUUUAAUAUUAGUUUACAAAUGUACAUAACUGAUUUACCAACAACAACAAAAAUAAUCUCUGUUAUGCACACACAAGGAGAUUAUAUUUUUUCAUAAUAGGUCCAAAUGCUGUGAGCGUUUUAUCUUCUCCUAUUGUGAUGUCACAAGGUGUCCCUUUGGUUUCACGGUAACAACAAUAAAAGCUAUGAAGGUUCCAGAGCUUCAGUUUUGGUGUCUAGUCAUUUCUUAGGUGACAAGUGGGACACAUUGAUGGCGACCCAACAGACACAAGCAUGUGUCCUCUGCUUCUCUGUGGUACAAGUUAACUCCAGAGUCACAUAGUAUACAUUUCAGACGACAGGCUAUUCAUCUUUACAUUUGGUGGAUGAAUAUUGAGAGACGUUAGUGGUUUGGCAACACUUCUUCCCUGUCAAUGGAUUACCCCGAGGAUCCAGAGGAACAGUUAUCGGAGAAUAAGAACGAAGAAGAGGGGGAGGAUAAAGGAAUAGAGAUAAUGGAUGAGGAAGAAGGCGAGAUGGAGGAAGAUAAAAAGCCUAAACUGGGCUGGGCUAAUCUCCCGGACGUGUGUCUGCGGCAGGUGUUCUGGUGGCUUCGUGACCGCGACCGUGUCAAGGCGGCCCUGGUGUGUCACCAUUGGCACCACGUUAUGUGCUCGCCCUCCCUCUGGAGGGUUCGAAACUUCAACUUCUCCGGCCGCAUCUCCAGGACCCGCCGUUCGGCGCUGGAGACGGCCGUGUGUUACGCCAAGACCUACGGCGCUUACCUGGAGGAUCUGGAGAUCCGCUUCUCCCACCCCCUCAACUCUCUGGUGGCCCGGCGCUUCCAGCAAACGCUGAGGACCUUCCUCGCCGCGCUGCGUAAAACCGGCGGCCGACUACGCCGCCUAACUGUCAACCACAUGGCGCUGGACCGCGCCGCCUGGUGCCGAAGUGUACGCAACUCCCUGGUGCGCAGCCUCGCCUUCUACCUGCGCCGUGAGGGCUCCCGCCUUGGCUACUUGAGCCUGCGGGGGGCCCGCCUCAACCUGCCCCAGGGCCUGGAGGUACUGGAAGCCGUGGCUGCAGCUCAGCAGCACAUCCACCUGGGACGCCGGCCCGGCAUCACCCACCUCAACCUGGAGGACUUCUUCUCACAGCCACUGGCCGUCUUCGUCAGCCCCGCCUUCCCCCAGGUCAUGAACCGCUUCCAGGGCCUCUGCACCCUGACCCUUAACUACAGCUGCCUGUCGGACGAGCUGCUGGCGGCCCUGUCCGCGGCAUGUAGGAGCCUGGGCGGGGGAGGGUCCCUGCAGACGUUCACCGUACGAUGCCAUAUCCACGAGCCCCACAUCCAGGUGGUCUGGGGGGAUGCCUGGUCCCAUCUGGCUCAGCAUUGUCCCGACCUUCGGGUGCAGAUCACAGUGGAGCGGAUCCUCGACGUGGACAAGCUGGGAAGGAUUCUGCUCAGAGAGAUCCCGCUGCGCUUGCUCAGUCUCACCAGCUGCUACUUCAGUGAACAGGACUGGAGUGCCAAGCCUGCCCUUACCAGCCUAGUGCCCUGCUACAGGAGCUGUUUACAGGUGACGAUUGGUAGCUCUACCCGUUGAUAUAUAUCCCCAAUUUGGAUGGAGUCUCCUCCUCCCUAAACAUAACUUCCUGCCUAGCAAUAAAGAUGUAAAGUGAUACAGGGAAUAAACUGUUCCUUCUCACUUAAUGUGACCUGACCUCGACCCCCUUCAUCACUAAUCUACGGCUCUCCACCCUUAUCAGCGCCUGCCGCGUGAUCUUUUCCCCAUGCACUCAGUACAUUCCUCCUACAUAUAACCACUAACUUCUGGUGUAAACCCUCGACUAUGGCACCCCUCAUGUCUCUAGCAUAACUAAUGAUUCAUAAUAUUUCAAGUUCAGAAAUCCGAACCCAUCACGGAGCAAUGAUGGCCCCGGCUUGUGUGGCGAUAAAGUAUGUGCAGUAUACAUACAGUUUAUUCAUGUACCCACAUUGCCUUUUUAUAGCCAUGCAGUUUAGACUAAUCCUAGUCCUGGAAUAAGAGAUUCUCCAUUGAGAAUGUGUUUUAUUCCAGGACUACGCUUAAUCUAUGUCAGGGAAACCGGCCCCAAGAGACAUGACUCUAAGGGAUGGAUUCAAUCCGUAUCGCAGAAGUCUCUCGGGAAACUUCAUGUUACAGCUCGAUUUAAAAUGAUAGGCAAUGUUCCCGCGUUACUGCAUCCACAGUAAACGCUACAUAUGUCCGCUCAAUUGGAAACGAUCUUCACAUUUUCACGCGGCUCUUCCCGCGAUAUGGAUUGAAUCCAGCCCUAAAUUGCCAAUAGGAAAGUCAGUGGCACUCCUUUAACGACAUGAAUCCGUGUUGUGAAUCUGUCUCCACCUCAAUUCCUUGGUGUAGAAAUUGACCCUGGACCUGAACAACAGCCACGAGUCUGUGGACGAGGAGCUGCUGGAGGUGGUGCUGCUGUGCAGCCGGCUGGUCUACCUGAAGGUCUGGGCCUUUCUGGACAUCAGCUUCCUGGACCGGCUGCUGCAGAAACGCCUGGAAAAGAAGACCAUCCUCAGGACCAUCAAGGUGCGCAUCUACACCAACAAAUAUGAGACUCAGGAUGAGGAUGGGCAGCUGGAGGAGGUGUACUCUCGCUACAGACAACUCAUCAACUCCGAGCUCCACUACCUCGCCAUCUCCUACCCCAUGCUCUGACUCCUGCCUAACAGACACAUGGGCCCAAAAAGACAGCUUUUUAUAUAUAUAUAUAACACCAUUUAAAGUAAGAGGAAGGAAACUUCAAUUU